rnacentral:misc_RNA from 1 species
GAUGAAGACGCAGCGAAAUGCGAUAAGUAAUGUGAAUUGCAGAAUUCAGUGAAUCAUCGAAUCUUUGAACGCACAUUGCGCCCCCUGGUAUUCCGGGGGGCAUGCCUGUCCGAGCGUCAUUACAACCCUCAAGCUCAGCUUGGUAUUGGGCCCCGCCGCUUCGGCGGGCCCUAAAGUCAGUGGCGGUGCCGUCCGGCUCCGAGCGUAGUAAUUCUUCUCGCUCUGGAGGCCCGGUCGUGUGCUUGCCAGCAACCCCCAAUUUUUUUCAGGUUGACCUCGGAUCAGGUAGGGAUACCCGCUGAACUUAAGCAUAUCAAUAAGCGGAGGA